rnacentral:rRNA from 1 species
UACGUAGGGUGCGAGCGUUGUCCGGGAUUAUUGGGCGUAAAGAGCUCGUAGGCGGUUUGUUGCGUCUAUCGUGAAAACCUGCAGCUUAACUGUGGGCUUGCGGUGGAUACGGGCAGACUUGAGUUCGGUAGGGGAGACUGGAAUUCCUGGUGUAGCGGUGAAAUGCGCAGAUAUCAGGAGGAACACCGGUGGCGAAGGCGGGUCUCUGGGCCGAUACUGACACUGAUGAGCGAAAGCCAGGGGAGCAAACGGG